rnacentral:rRNA from 1 species
CAGUAGCCGCGGUAAUACGUAGGGCGCGAGCGUUAAUCGGAAUUACUGGGCGUAAAGCGUGCGCAGGCGGUUUUGUAAGACAGGCGUGAAAUCCCCGGGCUCAACCUGGGAAUGGCGCUUGUGACUGCAAAGCUAGAGUGCGGCAGAGGGGGAUGGAAUUCCGCGUGUAGCAGUGAAAUGCGUAGAUAUGCGGAGGAACACCGAUGGCGAAGGCAAUCCCCUGGGCCUGCACUGACGCUCAUGCACGAAAGCGUGGGGAGCAAACAGGAUUAGAUACCCAGUAGUCCCUGUCUCUUAUACA